rnacentral:rRNA from 1 species
GAUGAACGCUGGCGGCGUGCCUAAUACAUGCAAGUCGAGCGAACAGACGAGGAGCUUGCUCCUCUGACGUUAGCGGCGGACGGGUGAGUAACACGUGGAUAACCUACCUAUAAGACUGGGAUCACUUCGGGAAACCGGAGCUAAUACCGGAUAAUAUAUUGAACCGCAUGGUUCAAUAGUGAAAGACGGUUUUGCUGUCACUUAUAGAUGGAUCCGCGCCGCAUUAGCUAGUUGGUAAGGUAACGGCUUACCAAGGCGACGAUGCGUAGCCGACCUGAGAGGGUGAUCGGCCACACUGGAACUGAGACACGGUCCAGACUCCUACGGGAGGCAGCAGUAGGGAAUCUUGCGCAAUGGGCGAAAGCCUGACGGAGCAACGCCGCGUGAGUGAUGAAGGUCUUCGGAUCGUAAAACUCUGUUAUUAGGAAAGAACAAAUGUGUAAGUAACUAUGCACGUCUUGACGGUACCUAAUCAGAAAGCCACGGCUAACUACGU